AUACGGAGGGUGCGAGCGUUAAUCGGAAUUACUGGGCGUAAAGCGUACGUAGGCGGUUGGUUAAGUUAGAUGUGAAAGCCCCGGGCUUAACCUGGAAACUGCGUUUAAAACUGGCGAACUAGAGUUGAGUAGAGGGGAGUGGAAUUUCAGGUGUAGCGGUGAAAUGCGUAGAGAUCUGAAGGAACACCAGUGGCGAAGGCGACUCCCUGGACUCGAACUGACGCUGAGGUACGAAAGCGUGGGUAGCAAACGGGAUUAGAAACCCUAGUAGGUCC
rnacentral:rRNA from 1 species